rnacentral:rRNA from 1 species
CGCCGGACAACUCACAGGAGCGACGGUUACGUGAAGGCCAGGCUGAUGACCUUGCCUGAUUUUCCGAGAGGUGGUGCAUGGCCGUCGUCAGUUCGUACCGUAAGGCGUUCUCUUAAGUGAGAUAACGAACGAGACCCUCACCGCUAAUUGCUAGUGUUCUCUCCGGAGGGCACGCACAUUAACGGGACCGCUGUCGCUAAGACAGAGGAAGGAGAGGUCAACGGUAGGUCCGUAUGCCCCGAAUCUCCCUGGGCUACACGCGCGCUACAAAGGUUGGGACAAUGGGCUCCGACAUCGAAAGGUGAAGGCAAUCUCGAAACCCAAUCGUAGUUCGGAUUGAGGGUUGUAACUCACCCUCAUGAAGCUGGAUUCCGUAGUAAUCGCUUGUCAACAUCAAGCGGUGAAUAUGCCCCUGCUCCUU